GCUGGUGUAGCUCAAUGGUAGAGCAUCUGAUUUGUAAUCAGAAGGUUGCGGGUUCGAUUCCCAUCACCAGCUCCA
rnacentral:tRNA from 1 species